rnacentral:lncRNA from 1 species
AUGGUCCUUCCCCUCCCUUCUCCAGCCUCCUUACCUCCGACUUCUCACCUGAGCACUGCGGAGGAGGGAGAAGGGAGGAAGAAGGAGGAAAGAGGGAGGGUUAGGGGCGACUGGGGAGGUGGUUCCUGUAGCUCCGGCUCACUUGGUACGCGCCUGCCCCGCCCCUGCCCCGCCCCCGUCCCCAGCCUCUGCACUGAGCCUCUGCAGCAGGCAGGAAGUCCUGAACAGCCCGGCCUCGGGAACUGGGCGAGGGGUGGGUUCCUUGAGCCUAGAAAGCGAGGAACACCCAGCUGGAGCUCUCUGGAGCGUAGACCAUCCUCCUCAGGUUCAAGGUAUCAAGACACUAUUUGUGACCUUCCUCACCUCCUUCCCCAUUCCCUGAUGGCCUUGGACAUUUCCAGCAUCUUUACUUAAAGGUGUUUCUCAACAUAGUGAACCAAGAGAUGUCUCUUGAGGACUACAAUAAGAAGACUAAUGGAUGUCUCAAAUUGUUACAAGAACAAUUGAAAGAUCUUAUUUAAGCCAUAUGAAGAGUCUGAAAAUGAUCUGAAGGCCUUACAAAAUGUUGGGCGGAUUGUGGGUGAAUUGCUGAAACAAAUAAUGGAAGAAAAAUUCAUUGUUAAAGCAACAAAUGGACCAAGACAUGUUGUGAGUUGUUAGUAUCAUCUUGACAAAAGUAAUCUGAAGCCACGGACAAGAAUUGCUUUGAAUAUGACUACACUUACUCUCAUGAGAUAUUUGUAAAAAAAAAAAAAAAAAUAUAUAUAUAUAUAUAUAUAUAUAUAUAUAUAUAUAUAUCCACUGAUUUAUAACAUGUUUCUUAUCCUGAGAUUGGAGAGCUAUCUGAUAAAUCAGAGAAUUGAGAGAAUUAUCCCUUACAAACCUUGAGUUAUUCCAGUGUGCAAGAAAAAUAACUCCAAAAGGUUGUUUGCUAAGUGGACUACCAGGAACAAGAAAAAAACACUCUUGGCAAGAGCUGUUGCUAGCCAGCUGGAUUGCAAUUUUGUAAAGGUUAUAUCUAGUUCUAUUGUAGGCGAGUAUGUUGGUGAAAGUGCCUAUUUGAUCAGAUAAAUGUUCAAUUGUGCCAGGGAUCACUGGUUGUGCAUCAUUUUCAUGGACGAAAUAGAUGCUAAUGGUAGCUGUUGGUUUUCUAAGUGUACUUCAGCUGGUAGAGAAAUUCAGAGAACUCUAAUGGAGUCACUGAAUUGAUGGAUGGAUUUGAUCCUUUUCACAGAGCAACAGUGAUCAUGGUUACAAACAGACCAGACACAUUGGAUUCUGCUUUGUUCCAUCUAGGAAGAUCAGAUAGAAAAAUACAUAUUGAUUUACCAAAUGAACAAGCAACAUGAGACACAAUGAAGAUUCAUGCUAGUUCUAUCACAAAACAAGGUGAAAUAGAUUAUGAAACAAUUGUGAAGCUCUUAGAUGGCUUUAAUGGAGCAGAUCUGAGUAAUGUUUAUACUGGAGCAGGUAUGUUUACAAUUCAUGCUGAUCAUUAUUUUGUUGUAAGGAAGGUUUCAUGAAAGCAGUCAUAAAAUUGGCUGAUUCUAAGAAGUUGAAGUCUAAACUACACAAUCAACCUGACUGAGUUAUAAAACAUGAAAGUUGUUAUUGCAAUAUAAAAAUAAAGUUGAGGAUAAUAAUGUGUAUUGGAUAUGA